CAGCAGGAUCUCCACACUGUGGACCACUGCCUCAAGUGUACCAACAUUCUCUUCACCUUAUUUUGUUCUACUAAGGAUCCAAUCUGGAAUAAAAUGCAUUAAGUCAUCAUGUCUCCUUAGUCUCCUGUCUGUGUCUUUCAGUAUUUAGAAGAGAACUCAACAGAAACAAAAGACACUGCAAUCAACCCUACUCCUAAGAUUCAAAGCAAAGAAUCCAUAUACUGGGACCACACCACCUCUUGGACCUAUUGACAAAUUCAGAAGAAAAGCUCUGUCACCCAGGCUGAAGUGCAAUGUCAUGAACUGUAGCCUCAACCUCCUGGGCUACAACAACAAGCAAUCCUCCUACCUCGGCCUCCUGAGUUGCUGGGACUACAGACUGGACAGUCUAUGAAAAAAACUGGUUUCUUCUCCCUCACCAUUGCGCGCUUCAGUGCAGUGCCAUGGCUACAACAUAGUAGGUGCUCGAUAAGUAUCUGUUGACUGAAUACAUGAAUACGAGGAGCAACCUGCCAAAACUGACUAUCAUAAGUGGACAGAGCAACCAAUAAUGCAUAGAAGUGAAAGAAACAAGUCAGAGGGAAGAGGAGAGUAAAAAAACUGAACACAAGUUGUGGCCUAAUGAAAUCCAUACAAUUUUAAUGUGCUUUGUACAAAUAAAAUAAGGCAGCCAGUAGGUCUCCUUUUCCCUAGAGAAGCUACAAAAAGAUAUGGAAUUAGAAUCCCAGUAGUUAUAAAGACGUAAAACAUACU